GAUGAACGCUGGCGGCGUGCCUAAUACAUGCAAGUCGAGCGAACGGACGAGAAGCUUGCUUUUCUGAUGUUAGCGGCGGACGGGUGAGUAACACGUGGAUAACCUACCUAUAAGACUGGGAUAACUUCGGGAAACCGGAGCUAAUACCGGAUAAUAUUUUGAACCGCAUGGUUCAAAAGUGAAAGACGGUCUUGCUGUCACUUAUAGAUGGAUCCGCGCUGCAUUAGCUAGUUGGUAAGGUAACGGCUUACCAAGGCAACGAUGCAUAGCCGACCUGAGAGGGUGAUCGGCCACACUGGAACUGAGACACGGCCCAGACUCCUACGGGAGGCAGCAGUAGGGAAUCUUCCGCAAAGGGCGAAAGCCUGACGGAGCAACGCCGCGUGAGUGAUGAAGGUCUUCGGAUCGUAAAACUCUGUUAUUAGGGAAGAACAUAUGUGUAAGUAACUGUGCACAUCUUGACGGUACCUAAUCAGAAAGCCACGGCUAACUACGUG
rnacentral:rRNA from 1 species